rnacentral:misc_RNA from 1 species
GAUGAAGAACGCAGCGAAACGCGAUAAGUAGUGUGAAUUGCAGAAUUCAGUGAAUCAUCGAAUCUUUGAACGCACAUUGCGCCCUUUGGUAUUCCUUAGGGCAUGCCUGUUCGAGCGUCAUUUAAACCUUCAAGCUAAGCUUGGUGUUGGGUGACUGUCCGCUUCACGGCGGACUCGCCUCAAAAUUAUUGGCGGCCGGUACAUUGGCUUCGAGCGCAGCAGAAACGCGAACUCGGGCCCGUCGUAUUGGCUCCCAGAAGCUAUCUUCACAAUUUUGACCUCGGAUCAGGUAGGGAUACCCGCUGAACUUAAGCAUAUCAAUAAGCGGAGGA